GCUAAUUAUCUAGCCCCCAUCUAACGUAUACCUAAACCCCUUUUAUUACUACUUAAUUAAAACAUUCUUUUAUUUUAGUAAAGGCGAUUGAAAAUUUUAUAGGAGCUAUAAAGACAGUACCGCAAGGGAAUGAUGAAAUAAAAAUGAAACAAAUUUUAAGCACAAAAAAGUAGUGAUUAAACCCCGUACCUUUUGCAUAAUGGCUUAACUAGUCAAAUCGAGCAAAACGAAUUAAAGUUCGACCUCCCGAAACCAAACGAGCUACUUCAAGACAGCUAAUCGAGCAAACCCGUCUCUGUUGCAAAAGAGUGGGAAGAUCUUUAAGUAGGGGUGACAGACCUAACGAGCUUGGUGAUAGCUGGUUACUUAAGAAAAGGAUUUAGUCCCGCCUAAAGUUAAAAAAAUAAUAUAAAAUAUAAAUAUAACUUUAGAGUAAUUCAAAUAAGGUACAGCCUAUUUGAAACAGGAUACAACCUCCACAAAUGGGUAAUUAUCAAUCCAUUAAUAUAACAAAGUUGGCUUAAAAGCAGCCAUCUUCUAAAAAGCGUCAAAGCUUAGUUAUUCAAAGAUGUAAUUCCAUAAAUUUAUAAGAACCCUAAAACGUUAUUAAGUACUUUUAUAAUACUAUAAAAUAUAUAAUGUUAAGACUAGUAACAAGAAGAAGAACUUCUCUUAAAUGUAAGCAUAAAUCAGAAAGAACACAUCACUGAUAAUUAACACCUGUGAGUAAAAAGAAGUAACUUUACAAGAAAACUCUUCUAAACUUAGUGUUAAUCUAACACAAGAACAUUAAAAGAAAGAUUAAAAAGAAAAGAAGGAACUCGGCAAAUAUUAAUCUCGCCUGUUUACCAAAAACAUCGCCUCUUGAUAAACCAUAAGAGGUCCAGCCUGCCCAGUGACCCUGUUCAACGGCCGCGGUAUCCUGACCGUGCGAAGGUAGCGUAAUCACUUGUUCUUUAAAUGAGGACUAGUAUGAAUGGCAUCACGAAGAUUAUACUGUCUCCUUUUCUUAAUCAGUUAAACUAAUCUCCCCGUGAAGAAGCGAGGAUAAACAUAUAAGACGAGAAGACCCUAUGGAGCUUUAAACUAUACUACAUUUGUCCAAUUUUAUUUAAUUUCAGAAAAAUAAUUUAUCUCAACAUUAUGAUUGUAAGUUUUCGGUUGGGGUGACCACGGAGAAAAAUCAAUCCUCCGCGCUGAACAGACAAUUUCUUUAACCAAAAGUUACUCCUUUAAGUAUCAACAAAUUGACAUUAUUGACCCAAUAUUUUUUGAUCAACGAACCAAGUUACCCUAGGGAUAACAGCGCAAUCCAUUUCAAGAGCUCCUAUCGACAAAUGGGUUUACGACCUCGAUGUUGGAUCAGGGUAUCCCAGUGGUGUAGCCGCUACUAAAGGUUCGUUUGUUCAACGAUUAAAACCCU
rnacentral:rRNA from 1 species